rnacentral:rRNA from 1 species
UGAAAACUUAAAACUUAAAAGACUUGACGGUACUUCACACCAACCUAGAGGAGCCUGUCCAAUAACCGAUAAUCCACGAUCAACCCAACCUUUUCUAGCCCAUCAGUCUAUAUACCGCCGUCGCCAGCUUACCCUGUGAAAGAAACAAAGUAAGCCAAACAGUACAGACACUAACACGACAGGUCGAGGUGUAACUAAUGAAAAGGACCCAGAUGGGCUACAAUUCUUUAAUAAAGAACGAACAGACUAUGAAACUAGAAACUGAAGACGGAUUUAGCAGUAAGAUAAGAACAAAAUACUUAACUGAAACCAACGCAAUGAAGUGCGC